rnacentral:ncRNA from 2 species
AAAUUCCGUUAGGGGUGUCUGCAUAAUUUUUUCUACGGUUAUGCAGUCUGAGAUUAUACUCUUAGAACCUGAUACAGAUAAGCGCACCUGCGCGAUGCUGGCGAAGGGAAACGGGAAAUGGUUUUG